ensembl:snRNA U4 U4 spliceosomal RNA
AGCUUUGUGCAGUGGCAGUAUCAUAGCCAAUGAGGCUUAUCCAAGGCGCGAUUAUUGCUAACUGAAAACUUUUUGAGAAUACAGGUCCA